GAUGAACGCUGGCGGCGUGCCUAAUACAUGCAAGUCGAGCGAACAGAUAAGGAGCUUGCUCCUUUGACGUUAGCGGCGGACGGGUGAGUAACACGUGGAUAACCUACCUAUAAGACUGGGAUAACUUCGGGAAACCGGAGCUAAUACCGGAUAACAUAUUGAACCGCAUGGUUCAAUAGUGAAAGGCGGCUUUGCUGUCACUUAUAGAUGGAUCCGCGCCGUAUUAGCUAGUUGGUAAGGUAACGGCUUACCAAGGCAACGAUACGUAGCCGACCUGAGAGGGUGAUCGGCCACACUGGAACUGAGCCACGGUCCAGACUCCUACGGGAGGCAGCAGUAGGGAAUCUUCCGCAAUGGGCGAAAGCCUGACGGAGCAACGCCGCGUGAGUGAUGAAGGUCUUCGGAUCGUAAAACUCUGUUAUCAGGGAAGAACAAAUGUGUAAGUAACUGUGCACAUCUUGACGGUACCUGAUCAGAAAGCCACGGCUAACUACGUG
rnacentral:rRNA from 1 species